rnacentral:rRNA from 1 species
UACAGAGGGUGCGAGCGUUACUCGGAAUUACUGGGCGUAAAGCGCACGUAGGUGGCUUUGCAAGUCGAUUGUGAAAUCCCCGGGCUCAACCUGGGAACUGCAGUCGAGACUGCUUUGCUUGAGUAUGGGAGAGGGAGGUGGAAUUUCCGGUGUAGCGGUGAAAUGCGUAGAUAUCGGCAGGAACACCCGUGGCGGAAACGGCCACCUAGCCCGCACCUGACGCUGAGGCGCGACAGCGUGGGGAGCGAACGGG